CCCCGAGGCCGCUCGCCGCAGCUCAGCCUCCUUCCAGCCCUCUACGCCCUCUGCCCUUUCUCAGGCAUGGUCUACGUUGGGCUGGUGGCCUGAAUGCCUGUUUGUCAUUAGAGCACAGAAGAUGCACUCCUGAAUUACAUAUUCCAGCUGAGUUUAAUCUGAAAGGAAUCCCAUUUGUGCUUUCCACGACCACCCCAGGAUGUGAAUCAAGCAGAGACAAUUGCAAGAUGCACUUCAAAACGCACGCUCCUGAUCCAGGCUGAAGUACUAAGGUCAUUGAAGAGCCUGAUACUCCCUCCCUUUUUUACAAGAGCUAUCCUUUUAUUCUUGUGGCUUACAUUGUUUCAGAUCGGUCAUCAAUUCACAGGAGAAUCCUUCCACUUAGCCCAUCAGUUGUUUCUGUUGCAGCCUUGGAAAAAACUACUGAAAACUCAAGUAUGCUUGAUUCACGGGAUCAUCCUCUACCGUAUGUGUCAAAUCUCUUGAAAGGCCCGUGAGCGUGCUGAGUGCCAGAACGCUGGGCACCCACAGGCGCAAGUUGAGAACAUCUUCAGAACCAGUUCUAAUGGACCGUGACAGUAAAGCCCAGCUAUUCACAUACAAGCCCAGGACACUUAAGUUUAAUGGCUUGUUCCUAGGAAAGACGACGGUAUUUUCUCAGCGGAGAAUUUGAGACAAGCUUCUUGUACAAGGGAUCAGACUGAGACCUACGCACUAUGCGAGUCCCCAAAACAGAAGGUACAUGGCAAACAGACUUUGUGCUAAAUCUUCUGCUUGGAGAUAAUUGUACUAAAUUGUAACAAAACAGUUGUGUUAGUGAAUUGCAAGGCCCUGCUGGAAGAAACAAGUCAUGGUGUCCCUGGGGAGUACUUGGAAGCGCUAUGAGUAAAACUGUUGUCCAUGGCAGCUACUAAUAAACUGAAACGUCACUGUAAAAGGAAGCA
rnacentral:lncRNA from 1 species